UAUUUUUAUGGAGGUUUUAUUUAUUGACGUUAUGAUAAAAGGAGGCGAGGGUUUUAAACGUUUAUAGUUUAUGUCGCAAAGUUAAAAGUAGGUUGAUGGGUGAACAAUUGAAUAUGUCGCUAAAAUUUAGGGUUUUUGCCAUUUUUGUGUUGGUCUUGGCCAUGCUGUGGGGCCAAGUUGUCGCACAAGAUAACGUUAACAACACAGGUCCUGUUACGUUUCCACCCAAUUAAACGUGGCGCUAAUUAAACCACAACAAAAAUAAAAAACUUAUAAUUCUA